rnacentral:rRNA from 1 species
AACGCGAAGAACCUUACCAGGUCUUGACAUCCCGAUGCUAUUCCUAGAGAUAGGAAGUUUCUUCGGAACAUCGGUGACAGGUGGUGCAUGGUUGUCGUCAGCUCGUGUCGUGAGAUGUUGGGUUAAGUCCCGCAACGAGCGCAACCCCUAUUGUUAGUUGCCAUCAUUAAGUUGGGCACUCUAGCGAGACUGCCGGUAAUAAACCGGAGGAAGGUGGGGAUGACGUCAAAUCAUCAUGCCCCUUAUGACCUGGGCUACACACGUGCUACAAUGGUUGGUACAACGAGUCGCGAGUCGGUGACGGCAAGCAAAUCUCUUAAAGCCAAUCUCAGUUCGGAUUGUAGGCUGCAACUCGCCUUACAUGAAGUCGGAAUCGCUAGUAAU